AUGAAGCUGGAAUUGCUAGUAAUGGCAGGUCAGCAUACUGCCGUGAAUACGUUCCCGGGCCUUGUACACACCGCCCGUCACACCAAUGAGAGUUGGGAAUACCCGAAGCCUGUGAGCUAACUUUUUAAGAGGCAGCAGUCGAAGGUAGAAUCAAUGAUUGGGGUGAAGUCGUAACAAGGUAAC
rnacentral:rRNA from 1 species